rnacentral:sRNA from 1 species
AGUGAGUGGCAGACACCGGGCCUAGCGCUCCGGGUCGCGCCGAGCCGAGCCGAGCCGAGCCGGCGGAGCCUCUGGAAUCACCCUGGUCGCUGUUCCUGAGCAGCUGCAGAGCAUCGAGGGCUGGAGAGGAGCACAUACUGUCCAUGGAGCUGGUGGUCAAGGUGGACAGGGGGCGGUGGUGAUGGCGCAGUUUGACACUGAAUACCAGCGCCUAGAGGCCUCCUAUAGUGAUUCACCCCCAGGGGAGGAGGACCUGUUGGUGCACGUCGCCGAGGGGAGCAAGUCACCUUGGCACCAUAUUGAAAACCUUGACCUCUUCUUCUCUCGAACGUUUAUAAUCUGCACCAGAAGAAUGGCUUCACAUGUAUGCUCAUCGGGGAGAUCUUUGAGCUCAUGCAGUUCCUCUUUGUGGUUGCCUUCACCACCUUUCUGGUCAGCUGCGUGGACUAUGACAUCCUAUUUGCCAACAAGAUGGUGAACCACAGUCUUCACCCUACCGAACCUGUCAAGGUCACUCUGCCAGACGCCUUUUUGCCUGCUCAAGUCUGUAGUG